rnacentral:rRNA from 1 species
GGGCUCGCAGGCGGUUUCUUAAGUCUGAUGUGAAAGCCCCCGGCUCAACCGGGGAGGGUCAUUGGAAACUGGGAAACUUGAGUGCAGAAGAGGAGAGUGGAAUUCCACGUGUAGCGGUGAAAUGCGUAGAGAUGUGGAGGAACACCAGUGGCGAAGGCGACUCUCUGGUCUGUAACUGACGCUGAGGAGCGAAAGCGUGGGGAGCGAACAGGAUUAGAUACCCUGGUAGUCCACGCCGUAAACGAUGAGUGCUAAGUGUUAGGGGGUUUCCGCCCCUUAGUGCUGCACCUAACGCAUUAAUCACUCCGCCUGGGGAGUACG